UAGUCUCUUAGUGUAGUGGUCCAUCAUGGUGGGUUCUGGUCCCGCCGACCUCGGUUCGAAUCCGGGAGAGACUAUCCA
rnacentral:tRNA from 1 species